rnacentral:tRNA from 1 species
AGGAGUGUGGCACAGUGGUUAGGUUAACACUGUGCUACCUGUAUCCCAUACUGGAGUGCCUGGGUUCAAGUCCCAGCUCUGCUC